ensembl:snRNA U1 U1 spliceosomal RNA
AUACUUACCUGGCAGGGGAGAUACCAUGAUCACGAAGGUGGUUUUCCCAGGGCGAGGCUUAUCCAUUGCACUUCGGAUGUGCUGACCCCUGCGAUUUCCCCAAAUGUGGGAAACUCGACUGCAUAAUUUGUGGUAGUGGGGGACUGCGUUCGCGCUCUCCCCUG